GUCCGCGAAGGGAGUUAGUUUGAUUGACAAACGAUUACUGACCAGAUAAAGUGGUGAAACGAACAAUCAAACCCAAAAUACACAGUUUCUUGGUUGGUAAUCACCACUAAGCACCCACUUACUGAUCACCACUAAUCACCUACCAGGAGUCGAUAAGGAGAGCGUCCCGGUGGUUACUAGCACUGCAACGAAUGCGUUACCACCACCCGAAAUCUUAGAGCAAAUAAUCGAAUCCCGUCCGAGCCGACGUGCGUGAAGUCACUGAAAGCAAAUCACCAUGCGCUAGCAGGACCCGGUUGACCGAACCUCUGGAUACUGGCAAAACUUUUACCGUUACCCAAAAUGUUCGCGCUGAUAAAGAUCGCUAAUCGUGCUAUUCGCAUAAUGACGAGAACUGGCAGGGUUCAUGCUCUCUUUUGUAAGCGAUGAUGGAUGAUGCUGUACAAUCCCGUUAGGAUUUGGGAUCCGAUGCCCUAAUGGCUAAUGGAGCACCUGGAGUCGUUUUCGAAUGUCCGACAAACGUUCGGUCGAAAUUCGUUUUCGCUGUUCAUUCUCAAGAGCAUCACCAUCACUACCGGCUGCUGCGAUGUUGGCGAUAUUGGCGAUGUAUGCCUCUCACUGAGGUGUUGUUAGGCCAAAAUUGAGCUAGUAACCAGCUGGACAUUAGGAUUGAAGAAGGCACACUUCAAAGGGUACAUCUGGCAUUAUAAGUCUAUUAAAAUAUAGGAAAAGUGUUUAUAGAAACUCCAGUUUAGACAAAUUCCCUUAGAGUUAGACGAGCAUUUAUCUCCAACAUAAAGCUUGUUUGUAUCCAUCCCUUACGUCCGUACGUUAACCAGAUUUCAGUGCGCAAUCCAACAUCAGCAGCGUGUUUAGUGGAACGAACAAGUUGGUGAACAAAUAGAACGGAGUGGCCGUGAAGACGAACGGGAUGGUACGAAAGGGAUCGUGGCGUAGUAUCUAUGAUAACCUUCAUAAGUACAACACUGUUCCUUCUCGGUCUGAUCGCAGUGCUUCCAUAGACCCUCUGGUAGG